rnacentral:lncRNA from 1 species
UUAUGUACCCUUGUGUUGAUUCAAUGCUAAACAUAUGGAAAUUUUAUAGAAAAUCCACAGCCUUCAUCCUUGUUCUAUCAUAUUUGGCAAUUUGAUGACCGAUAGAUAUAGGAUUAUUGCAUGCAGUGCUAGCAUUGAUUUCCUUAAAACAAGUUUAUUAAUGUAGUUAUUGGUUAGAACAAAUAAAAAUAUGGACCAAAUCAAGUACACCUUUUAGGGUGCGCUCGACUUUAGUUACUCUGCACGAGG